rnacentral:lncRNA from 10 species
CACCGCAAGGACUGGAGAAGGGCCAUGAGAGAAGCAGUACCUUAUAAUGGUUCCUUGUUCAAAGCACUCAAUAUUCCUAGGAUGUGGUCUCCCAGCUGACUUCAUAACUGAAUCAUCAGUAAUUAAUUUCAUUGUUCUAUUAGGACUUUACUGAAGACUCUAAGGAGGACCUGUAUCUGUUGGGAUCCUCAGGGCAAGCCACAGAAACAAGCUUUGGAUACUAGAAGCAGAAAAUGGAGAUAUUGAAGACUAUUGUGGAGUUUACUGUGAGCCAGAGAACCAGGCUGGGGGGCUGUAUCACUUAGAAUGAGAUCCAAACUCACACCAUAGUUCCAUCCUUGAGGUUGCCAUGUUGCUGCCACCCCUCCUGCCACCCCACCACUGAAGCUUUGGAUGCUGGAUUCUGGGCACAGCAGGGAGAAGUGUUGCUUAUUACCAUUUUAGUAUGUUUUCUUUCAAGACCUUUUCAAAAUAUACAUACGUAUUUUUAUUUCUAUUCAAAAUGGGAUACAUUUUUGAAGGUUAGCAAUAUAUUGUGAACACUUCCUUGAUCUGUGGUUCCUAAAGUGUGAUUCCCAACAAGCAGCAUCAGGAUCAUCUGGAAACUUGAUAGAAAUGUAAAUUCUACAGUCCCUCCUUGGAGCUACAGAUUCAGAAAUUCUGAAGUUUAAGUCCAGCAGUUGGUUAUAAUAAGCUCUCUAGGUGAUUCUGACUUGCACCAAGGUUGGUGGACCAAUGCCUUAGAUUAGUAAAAAGCACUGUCAUAGAGUAAGCACUGCCAAAUCCACAGAUAUUCAUUGAAUGGCUACCAGA